GCCUGUUUUGGCAGCACACAUACUAUUAACUGGAAUGAUAUAGAAAUUAGCAUGGCCCCCUGCACAAGGAUAAUACACAAAUUUGUGAAGUGUUCCAUAUUUUU